rnacentral:tRNA from 1 species
GGGGGUAUAUUUCAAGAGGGAGAAAGAUGUUUUGCAAAUAUAAGGUUAUCGGUUCGAAUCCGAUUAUCUCCA